UAGGGAAUCUUCCGCAAUGGACGCAAGUCUGACGGAGCAACGCCGCGUGAGUGAAGAAGGAUUUCGGUUCGUAAAACUCUGUUGUUAGAGAAGAACAGCGCAUAGAGUAACUGUUAUGCGUGUGACGGUAUCUAACCAGAAAGCCACGGCUAACUACGUGCCAGCAGCCGCGGUAAUACGUAGGUCCCGAGCGUUGUCCGGAUUUAUUGGGCGUAAAGCGAGCGCAGGCGGUUAGAAAAGUCUGAAGUGAAAGGCAGUGGCUCAACCAUUGUAGGCUUUGGAAACUGUUUAACUUGAGUGCAGAAGGGGAGAGUGGAAUUCCAUGUGUAGCGGUGAAAUGCGUAGAUAUAUGGAGGAACACCGGUGGCGAAAGCGGCUCUCUGGUCUGUAACUGACGCUGAGGUUCGAAAGCGUGGGUAGCAAACAGG
rnacentral:rRNA from 1 species